AACGAACGCUGGCGGCAUGCCUAACACAUGCAAGUCGAACGAGACCUUCGGGUCUAGUGGCGCACGGGUGCGUAACGCGUGGGAACCUGCCCUUAGGUUCGGAAUAACUCCCCGAAAGGGGUGCUAAUACCGGAUAAUGUCUUCGGACCAAAGAUUUAUCGCCUUUGGAUGGGCCCGCGUUGGAUUAGCUAGUUGGUAGGGUAAAAGCCUACCAAGGCGACGAUCCAUAGCUGGUCUGAGAGGAUGAUCAGCCACACUGGGACUGAGACACGGCCCAGACUCCUACGGGAGGGAGGAGUGGGGAAUAUUGGACGAUGGGCGAGAGCCUGAUCCAGCAAUGCCGCGUAAGUGAUGAAGGCCUUAGGGUUGUAAAGCUCUUUUACCCGGGAUGAUAAUGACAGUACCGGGAGAAUAAGCUCCGGCUAACUCCGUG
rnacentral:rRNA from 1 species